CAGUCGCCGCGGUAAUACGUAGGGUGCGAGCGUUAAUCGGAAUUACUGGGCGUAAAGCGUGCGCAGGCGGUUGUGUCAGACAGGUGUGAAAUCCCCGGGCUUAACCUGGGAACUGCGCUUGUGACUGCACAGCUAGAGUAUGGCAGAGGGGGGUGGAAUUCCACGUGUAGCAGUGAAAUGCGUAGAGAUGUGGAGGAACACCGAUGGCGAAGGCAGCCCCCUGGGCCAAUACUGACGCUCAUGCACGAAAGCGUGGGGAGCAAACAGGAUUAGAUACCCCCGUAGUCCCUGUCUCUUAUAC
rnacentral:rRNA from 1 species